rnacentral:rRNA from 1 species
UGGGGAAUAUUGGGCAAUGGGCGAAAGCCUGACCCAGCAACGCCGCGUGAAGGAUGAAGUAUUUCGGUAUGUAAACUUCGAAAGAAUAGGAAGAAUAAAUGACGGUACUAUUUAUAAGGUCCGGCUAACUACGUGCCAGCAGCCGCGGUAAUACGUAGGGUGCAGGCGUUAAUCGGAAUUACUGGGCGUAAAGCGUGCGCAGGCGGCUCCUUAAGUCAGAUGUGAAAUCCCCGGGCUUAACCUGGGAACUGCGUUUGAAACUGAGGGGCUAGAGUGUGGAAGAGGGGGGUGGAAUUCCAGGUGUAGCAGUGAAAUGCGUAGAGAUCUGGAGGAACACCGAUGGCGAAGGCAGCCCCCUGGGCUAACACUGACGCUCAUGCACGAAAGCGUGGGGAGCAAACAGGAUUAGAUACCCAAGUAGUCCCUGAGCGGGCUGGCAAGGCGCAU